rnacentral:misc_RNA from 1 species
CGCAGCAGCAACAGCCUACGCAGCAGCAACACGCUAUGCAGCAGCAACUGUAUUAUCCCACUCACCAGCAGCCACAAGUCCCGGCUCCAGCGGAACCAGCUCUGGACUCGUUUGACAACAAUAAUAGCGGAGGAGGAGGUGGUGGCGGCCGGAGCGAUGGCUGGGGUGAUUGGGGCGAUUGGAACGACAAUAGCAACAACAAUAUUAGCAACGGCACCGAAAGCCUGUUAGAGCCAACUGGACAACUGCUGGAGGAUUCCUUCAAUGUGCAAUCUUCGCAAGGCAGUUGGCAGGCGUUUGCCACCAGCAAUAAUGUCAAUAACAAUGGCGAGCUGCCCUCAGCAGCGGAUCCGCAGGCAGCGCCCUUGCAACAACAGUCAUUCAAUGAGCAAUCGACACCUUUGUUGCACCAGCAGCCACAAUCGCCGCCGGAACUGGGGCAGGAACCCGAACUGGAUGCCAUUGUGCCUCCCCAGGCUUUCCAAAACCAGCCACCAACCGUAGCACCACCACCAACAUCACUGACUGCGUUCUCCGCACCAAUGACUGCUGUGGGAUCGCCAAUGUAUGCUUCUGCACAUAGCGCUGGAGUAGGAGCUUCGCCAGCACCUCCCACUGCAGUGGGAGCUCCGCCAGCACAUCUUACUGGAGUAGGAGCGCCACCAGCACAUCUUGCAGGACUAGGAGCUUCGCCAGCACCUCCCACUGGAGUGGUGGUUCCGCCAGCACAUCUUGCAGGAGUAGAAGCUUCCCCAGCACCUCUCGCUGGCGUGGGAGCUCCACCAGCACCCCUCAUUGGAGUAGGAGCUCCACCAGUGGGAGCACCGCCAGUGGACGCUACAACUAUUGCACCACCGGCCGCACUGCCACCUAGCUUGGCUCCAUCGUCUGGCAAUCCCUUCAAGCGCUCCACGGGUCUAAAUAAGCGAGUUAACAUUAUGGCCGAUCCUGCGGCAGGCGCUCCAUCGCCCCAGGCACCUGCUGCAAUGGCUCCAGUGGCACCAAUAGCAGCAAUUCCGCCACCAGCUGAGCAGCUCUUUGGUCUGCCAGCAGAGGCUCAUGGAGAUAGUUUCAACUUAAUGGCGGCGCCACCUGUUGAGGCUUCACUUGUAGCUCCACUAAGUGCAGCUAUUCCUGCACCCAUUCCUGUACCUACCGCAUCGCUGUAUGCCCCACCGGCUGUUCCACAGGCAUUUACGCCCUUGGAGCCGGACAACCAGGAGGUUUUGUCCGCGCCAAAUGACGAGCGGGCCCAGUACUUGCAGACCAGUCACCUGUCCGAGCAACUGGGCGAAGGCGAAGCUGAUCAGGAUGCAGGCCUGCUGCCACCACCGGGACUGUCUCGUUUGGUUUUGGGCCAACCGGAAUUGGAUUCGCAGCAGCAGCGCCAGGUCACGGGAGCCACAGAGCAGCCACCACUUAAUGUGGCCCAGGCAGCAGCUCUACACAUGCAAGAGCGUCGUGCAGAUGGCGAGGACACCUCUGACGGCGAGCAACAAGUACGUAAUAUACAGACGCCACCACGUCGCGUCGUAACUGGCGUGGAGACCAACGCCCCAUCGUUGAGAGAACAGCGGGAAGUGGUGCUGGAUGGCGAGAAUCUGGAGGAUCGCGAAGCUAUACCGCCACCAACUUUGGCUGAACAGCCAACCACUUCAGUACAUCACAAUAUUCUACCCGAUGAGCCGGAGCAGCUGCAUCACAGCAAUCCGCCCCAGGCGAUGACUCCGCUUAAUCCGCAGCAACCACAUCAGCAGCAGCCACUGCUGCAGCAGCAGCACCAGCAACAUGCAACCCCUCAGCAGGAGAAGAAACGUACGGCGGUCGGACGCCGAACCACAGCCUCGCUGGAUCUGGAGUCCGAUGAGUCUGACGAGUUUCUGCAGAGCGAAAGGGAACGCGAUCGGGAGCGUGAGCGCAGAGACCUAAUGGAGGAGAGGCAAGGUCGUGGUCGCAGCCAUGGUCAUUACCCCUACGAAGGCGAAACGGAGGACUCUGUGCGUGGUGCUACCCACCACGAGACGAAAUCCCUAAGGGAAACACAUCACAAACGUAACCACGAAUCGACGCGCUCUCGCCGCCAUCAGGAUUCCAAGGUGGAACGCGAAAGGGAACGGGAUAGGGAGCGUGAUCGCACAUGGCGCCGACGAUCCAACAAGUAUCACAGUGGUGGCGAGGAUCCCGAUCGUUCGUACGAUCAUUCGCGUCGUUACAACAACAGCAAUUACGAUGGUGAGUCCGAUAAUCCGGAGUAUAGUCACCUGGGCGAUGCCGAGCUGGACGGCAGCGGUGGUCGGAGCAGUAAAACCAGUCGCCAUCGACGCAGUGCCGCCGAGGAGGAUUUCGAUGAUUACGAACGGGAUCGCAAUCGAUCCCGUCGCUCAACCAAACCACAAUCGUCCGCUGAAAAGUCACGCUCCUCUGGCGGACGACGGAAUUACGAGAAUACGGGUCGUGGUGCCCGUACCGAUGAUGGUCGCCGACGUUAUCAGGACCAGCGUAAUCCUGGUGCUCAGUAUCCCGUAUCAGCCACUGGCUAUGUUCCCUACGGAAUGUACGAGCAAAUGUCGCGGAAUCCACAAGUCUACGCUGAUAUGUAUGCGAAGUUCUAUGGCCAAAUGAUCAACUCGAUGAACGCUGCUGUUACGGCGGCUGCCUCUAAGGGCGGUGUUCCCGCUGGAGCUGGAGUCAUACCCGGUUUGGUGCCCGGCACGGUGCCCGUGAGUGCCGCCCAGUUGGUGGCCGCCACCAGCGGAGGAAGUGUCAGCGGAAGCAGUGAUGCCGCCAUGCUCAGGGAACGAGAAAGGUAUACACACGCAUACAUAACCCAAGCCAAUGAAUUCCAUCGUCACCAAUACAAAGAGCUGAUCUACCAGCAACAACAACAACAACUGCAGCAGCAGCAACAACAACAACAGCAGAGGGAGGAUCAACUGAACUCCAGCUUUAGCGUUGCCGAGGAUAAUGCCAGUUAUUACGGAUCCCGCGGAGGUUCCAUCUAUAACCAAUACCAAUCAUAUCCACUCUCCAGUGCCCGAUCGCUGAGUAACUUGAACGGCGAUGGACGCAACUCCCGAUGCGGACCGCAUUACGCUGGUUCCGAAUGCGGUCUCGAUAUCAGAGCUGCUGCCGAGGCGGCACCUUCGACUUAUGGAGGCGUGGCUGGAACCGCUGGAACGGUGACCACUAACGCGGUGGCUCGUCCGCCGCGCAGACGCACUCCCUUGCAGUUCAAUCGACCGCAUUUGGUGGCCUCGUAUGCGAUGAGUCUGCUGCUGAAGGUGAAGCCCAAGUACGCGGGACGCGGACGACUGCGCAACGAUGUGGAGGUGGCGCCACCGCGCAUACGGGACGGAACGAGCAGCCUGCUGCGCAUGUAUCCGGGUCCGUUGCAGGGUCGCAAGUUGCACAAGGACAAGAUCAUCAGCUUCUGCAAGGAGCAGAUCCGACUGGGACCCACAAAGGGUUGCACCGCACUCUAUGCCACGCAGAAGAAGCCCCAAGGCAGUGUGGCUAAAUACCGUGCCUCCCAUGCGCUCAUGUGGCAUCUGCUUAUACUGUUGCUGCGCCAAAAUGGGUACAUUGCGGACACGGAUGUGGGCGAUCUGCUGCUGGAGAACCAGCAAGAGUAUCCAUACGAUCCCAGCGAGUUCGAACCAGAGAACGAACCAGACGUGGACGCCGAACAGGAUGUCGCUGCACCAGCGGACAAGGCAGGAGAUUCGGAUUUGGAUAGCGAAUCGGCAGCAGGAGUUACGCCUGCAGAACCACUUGCAGCGGGUGCCGCAACGAGCUCAUCCAAUGGCGCUGAUGCUGCGAACGCAGCGCAGACAGGACAGACGCCUCUGUCGGAACAGGCGGCAACGGACAAGUUCCGCAGCUAUGUGUUGCGCGGAAAUGUCGAGGAGGCUCUCCAGUGGGCCGCCGAUAACAACCUGUGGACGCAUGCAUUCUUUUUGGCCCUCUACGAGGAUCGCUAUGCUCUCACAGAUGUUGCCCAGAAGUUUCUCAAUCGAGCGAUCAAGGCGAACGAUCCAUUGCAGACACUCUACCAAAUGAAGAGCUGCCACACGCCGGCGUGCGUCAGCCAGCUGCGGGAUGAACAGUGGGGCGACUGGCGGUCGCAUCUCUCCAUUCUGGUGACGAACAAGAGUCGCCAGCCGGAGUAUGAUCGCAGUUCGGUAGUGGCCCUCGGCGAUACGCUGUUCCAGCGCGGCGAUAUUUAUGCGGCACACUUUUGCUAUCUGGUGGCUCAGGAGGAGUUCGGGCGAUACGACAGCUCUGCCACCGAGCUCACUACUCUGACCGCCAAUGUGCCCAGGCUUAUCCUGCUGGGCUCCUCGCAUUACAAGCACUUCAAUGAGUUUGCCAGCAACGAGGCCAUCAUCAUGACCGAGAUCUAUGAGUAUGCUCGAUCGCUGUUCGAUCCGAAGUUUAGCAUUGCCCACUUCCAACACUACAAGUUCCUGCUGGCCACAAGGAUCCUUGAUUAUGGCCAGCAUUUCCGCUGCACCAAUUAUUUGGAACAAAUCGCCAGGCACAUCGAACUGAAGCCAGAAAGCUACGACAGUGAUUUCAUUCAGCGGGUUUGUGGUUUGGCCGAACGUCUGCGCUAUCAUGAUCCCAUUCUUAUCAAUCGUGUAUCUUUUGCGAGUCCUCCGAAUGCCACCAGCAAGGAUAGUGCUGCUCCCGAAGAGAAAGCCUGGUUGCGCCAGCUGAGAUCUCUGGCCAAUGUGCCCCAACAGGAGCAACUGCAACAGCUGCAGCAGCAUCAGCAAAUCCAGCAGGAGCAAAACGACAUCGAUCAGCAGUUUGCAGAGGUGAAUAAGCAAUUCAGGGAGCUAAACAUGCAAUACGAGAGCCACAGCAACAUAGAGAAUACGCUGCAAUCGCAAUUGCAACCGGUGGAUCAACAGCCGCCACAGCAGCAGCAGCAGCAAGUUUUAUCGGAAGCGCACCAACAGCCACCGCCACCACAACAAUAUUAUGAGCCACCACCUCAAGCGCCAACUGAAACGGAUCCCUAUGGACAGGGCCAACCAUCCUACUAUGAUCCCAAUGCGGGGCAGCAUCAAUACGAUCCCAAUGCGGGCCAGCUUCAUUACGAUCCAAAUGCUGCACAUCAUCAAUACGACCAGCAAUCUCAAGCGCAACCUACUCCCAGUUAUGGCCAAAUAGAGCCAGGAACUGAGGCCUACCAACCUGGACAGACAACAGCAGAUCCAGCUGCGGCUGCCUCUGGCUACGGAUACGAUUACUGGUCGGGCACACAGCAGCCACCAUAUGGCGAUGAGCUGCAGCAGCAGACGCGCCCGGCGAUAUCCAUGCCCAAAUCAAAGAGCUAUGGAGAUGAGGACGAUGGUGGUUCCGGCGGUAUGUCUGAUCCUGGCCAGAAAGCCAAGCUUGGAGGCUCCUCUGAGGCUGCUGGCAAACAGCAGGCGUCGGGCAAACAGGCCAACUCUGGCAGCGAUCUUGGCGCACCUGGAAAUAAGAAUGCGGGCUGGUUCGGCGGACUCUGGAACAAGCUGUCGCUCAAGCCGAAGAACCAAAUGAUCCUGCCGGAUGACAAGAACCCGGCCAUCGUCUGGGACAAGGAGCGCAAAUGCUGGACCAACACCGAGGGCAGCGGCGAGGAGGCGGAGAGCUUUAAGCCGCCACCCAAAAUGAGUGAUCUGGGCAUGGCUCUCGGAGGUCCACCCGCCGCGCCAGUCGCAAACGCCGGACUGGGAAUGGGUCUAAUGCCGAUGGCCAACAAUUCGCUGGGCAGCCAUCAAUCGGCACCGCUGAUGGAUCAGCCACCGCCGUCGCAGCCGCAAAUGUAUGGCAGUCCCAUUGAUUACACGGCUGCUCCGGCACCCGAAUUGAUACCCACGGUGCCAUCGCCGGCGCCGGCGCCACUUUCUGUCCCAUCACCUGCACCGGCGGCAUCAGCGGCGCCCAAUCCCGCGGCCGCUCCCGGCGGACCGCAGCCCAAGCUGCAGUCGAACAUGUUCAAGAUGCAACGCAACCGAACGCUGAAGAACUCCUACGUGGAUGUGUUCAAUCCAUCGGGUGCGCCAAUGUCGGCGGCGCCGGAGAAUGUGCUGGCCCCCAUGAUGGCGCCGGCUGCGGUGCCGCAAGGUGGUUUCUUUGUGCCCCAGUCGUAGGGAAUCUGAGAUGGGACUGGCCGGUACCGAAGCCCCGGGAUCUGGAGCAGCUGGUGUGCGUGGACAGUUGAAGGAGGAGGAGGAUGUGUGAAUGUGUAAAAAGGGCUGCCCCAAAUACCAGCGAGAUCGGCACUUCGAAACUACGUAAAAAAAA